GGGCAUAUCAGUUCUAUAGGAACCGAAUUGUCAAGCAACAAUUUAGCCUUGUUUAUUCAGUUGAAUAUAUUUCUUACAUAUGAAUAUAUUCAUAUAUAUUUCUAACAGCAUGAAUAGCCUUAAAAUACUUUAUUUUCUAAUGCAGAUCAUAGCAGCAUUGGCGGCAUUCAACAAGGUCAUCAAAUCACCUCAAUGCCGAUAUAUGGCUGAUGUUGGACCUUGCGAUGCAAAUGCAUGCAAACUUGCUUUGUAGAGAAUGCGGACGGGCAAGAUCAUUUAGAAGAUGCACGG